AGUGCGGUGUUUUUCACCAGCACACUUUCUUUGACGAUGACUUACUCCACCUGGAAAAUCCAUCAGAAGAAAUUCACAAUGACCCAGCCAUGUUGCCCUGCUGUGUUUUAUGGAGUAGAGAGUUAGCGAAGUAACAUAAAGGAUCAAGACAACAGGUUCUGCGUUUUUGAAAUGUAGACGUUUGAAAACAUUCUCAGAGCCUCGCAGAGGAAGUCUACAGGGGCUCUAAUGAUUCUACUCCAGACAAGAUGGGCUAGAAUGGAGAGAGAGAUCUUCUCUUAAGAAGUCUGUGCCUUCAAACACCAGCGGGUCUGGCUACCCAGCCAUGGGUUGCCGGGAUCGUCCUUUCAUGGUUCUGAUGAUGCCCCAGGCAUGAGUGACCUGAGCACUUUGAGAACUGUCUGAAAUUGCCCGUAAAUACUGGGGCAGGCUUUGGACAAAGACUAAAUGUUUCCGUUGAACUUAACCUUUGUACUUAGGAGUGCCAUCUUGGGGACUUCCUCAACUUUCUAGCUGAUCAGGAAAAAAAAUAAUUAAGUAGAAUCUGAAACCAUAAAUACAAAAGAAGUCUACUGAAUAACAGCUGAAUAUUACCAGUGAAAUGCAUCAAUUCAUCAGCUUACACUUGAUCACACUCUGCAGAAGACUUCCAGAGAAUACAUCAGACUGGAGGAAAUGCAGUGUUACUUGCAUUCUUUUUUUCCCCCAUCCUUUUUCUAUUUCCUGGAACUAAACCAAAACACAUUCACAACAGUAAAAAGUACUGCUUCUGCAGGACAUGUUUCAGAUAUCUGUGCAGAGAUUCUGACCAGCAGCUUCUUAUAUUUAGCAGCCAAAAUAAUGUAUUUGUCACCACUGUUCUCCUUGGCUGAAUCUUUGUGUACAUCAGCUCAGCCCUUCCCUUGACUGACUGUACUGGCAUCUCCUCAGUGCUUCACAGCUUUUUCUAGACUGCUUCUCCUCAAUUCUGUGAUUCUUCCUUUUCA